rnacentral:rRNA from 1 species
AUUGAACGCUGGCGGCAUGCUUUACACAUGCAAGUCGAACGGGGUGGAGGGGCAACUCUUCAUCUAGUGGCGAACGGGUGAGUAAUGCAUCGGAACGUGUCCCGUAGUGGGGGAUAACCCGGCGAAAGCCGGACUAAUACCGCAUAUGCUCUACGGAGGAAAGCAGGGGACCUGAGAGGGCCUUGUGCUAUGGGGGCGGCCGAUGUCCGAUUAGCUUGUUGGUGGGGUAAUGGCCUACCAAGGCGACGAUCGGUAGCUGGUCUGAGAGGA